UACGGGGGGGGCAAGCGUUGUUCGGAAUUUCUGGGCGUAAAGGGCUCGUAGGUGGCCAACUAAGUCGGACGUGAAAUUCCUCGGCUUAACCGGGGAACUGCGUCCGAUACUGGUUGGCUUGAGUUUGGGAGAGGGAUGCGGAAUUCCAGGUGUAGCGGUGAAAUGCGUAGAUAUCUGGAGGAACACCGGUGGCGAAGGCGGCAUCCUGGACCAAUACUGACGCUGAGGAGCGAAAGCCAGGGGAGCAAACGGG
rnacentral:rRNA from 1 species